CCUACGGGAGGCAGCAGUGGGGAAUAUUGGACAAUGGGCGAAAGCCUGAUCCAGCAAUGCCGCGUGAGUGAUGAAGGCCUUAGGGUUGUAAAGCUCUUUUACCCGGGAAGAUAAUGACGGUACCGGGAGAAUAAGCCCCGGCUAACUCCGUGCCAGCAGCCGCGGUAAUACGGAGGGGGCUAGCGUUGUUCGGAAUUACUGGGCGUAAAGCGCACGUAGGCGGCUUUGCAAGUUAGAGGUGAAAGCCUGGGGCUCAACUCCAGAAUUGCCUUUAAGACUGCAUCGCUCGAAUCCGGGAGAGGUGAGUGGAAUUCCGAGUGUAGAGGUGAAAUUCGUAGAUAUUCGGAAGAACACCAGUGGCGAAGGCGGCUCACUGGACCGGUAUUGACGCUGAGGUGCGAAAGCGUGGGGAGCAAACAGGAUUAGAUACCCGUGUAGUC
rnacentral:rRNA from 1 species